rnacentral:rRNA from 1 species
AGUGAACGCUGGCGGUAGGCCUAACACAUGCAAGUCGAACGGCAGCACAGUAAGAGCUUGCUCUUACGGGUGGCGAGUGGCGGACGGGUGAGGAAUACAUCGGAAUCUACUUUUUCGUGGGGGAUAUCGUAGGGAAACUUACGCUAAUACCUCAUACGACCUACGGGUGAAAGCAGGGGAUCUUCGGACCUUGCGCGAUUGAAUGAGCCGAUGUCGGAUUAGCUAGUUGGCGGGGUAAAGGCCCACCAAGGCGACGAUCCGUAGCUGGUCUGAGAGGAUGAUCAGCCACACUGGAACUGAGACACGGUCCAGACUCCUACGGGAGGCAGCAGUGGGGAAUAUUGGACAAUGGGCGCAAGCCUGAUCCAGCCAUACCGCGUGGGUGAAGAAGGCCUUCGGGUUGUAAAGCCCUUUUGUUGGGAAAGAAAAGCAGCAGGUUAAUACCCCGCUGUUCUGACGGUACCCAAAGAAUAAGCACCGGCUAACUUCGUG